GGGGGGAGUUAGGGCCUCACUCUAAAGCUCCUUGAAGACUUCCAAGGGAUCUGGGCCGGGGAAGAGGACUACCAGAAAUUCCUAAGGCUACAACCUCCUGUCCUUCUCAUUUGAGAGUGCUGUGGCAUCAUAGAAAAAAAAAGAGCUCAUGGUUUCAUACUGCUGCCUAUCACUGUAUUAUGAGUGCCUUUCACGUAAAAGUGGCAUGGCACCAGCUGGAAGGGGGCACUCCAGUGCUGAAAAGCUAAUUCCCAGAGUAUCCAGCAGGAGGUGCUUGCAGCGGUGAGUCCCGCUGUGCUACAGUGGGGCUUGCUGGAGUAGCAUGAUUUCCCACAACCUGUUCUGAAAAUGAUUUUAUAUCCUUAAUUUUGAAACCGUAGACCAUGAAUGACUGUUCUAGUUAUUAUCCUCCAUUAUACUAAGUAUUGCUAUCAUAGAUGAGUGAAUGAAGAUACUAACUGUAAAACCACAGUAAUCAUUCUCAUUGCUAGAUCAGAAGAACUGCUUCAUUUAUAAGUGCACUAUAAUAAAGUCAUCUUAAUUAAAUGGAGAUAGCAGUCUAGGUGUUUUAUAGAUUUAAUUAUCUUAGCGCCAAAUUAUUAUUCUUUUGCCAGAAGAGUCAUUCAACAGGGUGGGCCAGAGGCUUCCAUUUAAA